rnacentral:tRNA from 1 species
AUCAAUAUGGCUGAAAAAGUGUAAGUCUGUAAAACUUAUUAUAAAUUUUUAUAAUUUUGUUGAUA